UGGGGAAUCUUGCACAAUGGGGGCAACCCUGAUGCAGCGACGCCGCGUGAGCGAUGAAGCCCUUCGGGGCGUAAAGCUCUUUCGACCGGAACGAUAAUGACGGUACCGGGAGAAGAAGCUGCGGCUAACUACGUGCCAGCAGCCGUGGUAAUACGUAGGCAGCAAGCGUUGUUCGGAGUUACUGGGCGUAAAGAGUGCGUAGGCGGUUUUCUAAGUUCGGUGUGAAAUCUCCCGGCUUAACUGGGAGGGUGCGCCGAAGACUGGGAAGCUGGAGUGUGGGAAAGGCAGGCGGAAUUCCUGGUGUAGCGGUGAAAUGCGUAGAUAUCAGGAGGAACACCGGCGGUGUAGACGGCUUGCUAGACCAUAACUGACGCUGAGGCACGAAAGCGUGGGUAGCAAACA
rnacentral:rRNA from 1 species